AACGUAGGAGACGAACGUUAUCCGGAGUUACUGGGCGUAAAGGGCUCGUAGGCGGCCAACUAAGUCAGACGUGAAAUCCCUCGGCUUAACCGGGGAACUGCAUCUGAUACUGGAUGGCUUGAGUUCGGGAGAGGGAUGCGGAAUUCCAGGUGUAGCGGUGAAAUGCGUAGAUAUCUGGAGGAACACCGGUGGCGAAGGCGGCAUCCUGGACCGACACUGACGCUGAGGAGCGAAAGCCAGGGGAGCAAACGGG
rnacentral:rRNA from 1 species